UACAGAGGGGGCAAGCGUUGUUCGGAAUUACUGGGCGGAAAGGGCGCGUAGGCGGCCUGUUAAGUCGGACGUGAAAUCCCUCGGCUCAACCGGGGAACUGCGUCCGAUACUGGCGGGCUUGAAUUCGGGAGAGGGAUGUGGAAUUCCAGGUGUAGCGGUGAAAUGCGUAGAUAUCUGGAGGAACACCGGUGGCGAAGGCGGCAUCCUGGACCGACAUUGACGCUGAGGCGCGAAAGCUAGGGGAGCAAACGGG
rnacentral:rRNA from 1 species